AGAGUUUGAUCAUGGCUCAGGACGAACGCUGGCGGCGUGCUUAACACAUGCAAGUCGAACGAUGAACCGGGUGCUUGCACCUGGGGAUUAGUGGCGAACGGGUGAGUAACACGUGAGUAACCUGCCCUGGACUCUGGGAUAACCCCGAGAAAUCGGAGCUUAAUACCGGAUAGGAC
rnacentral:rRNA from 1 species